rnacentral:rRNA from 1 species
CCGGCGACCGGCGGACGAGUGCGUAACGCGUAUGUAACCUACCUUUGACAGGGGGAUAACAUCGAGAAAUUGGUACUAAUACCCCAUAACAUCACCGGAGGCAUCUUCGGUGGUUGAAAACUCAGGUGGUCAGAGAUGGACAUGCGUUGUAUUAGCUAGUUGGUGAGGUAACGGCUCACCAAGGCGACGAUACAUAGGGGGACUGAGAGGUCAACCCCCCACAUUGGUACUGAGACACGGACCAAACUCCUACGGGAGGCAGCAG